AGUGGCGAACGGGUGAGUAUCACGUGGGUAACCUGCCUCACAGAAGGGGAUAACCUUGGAAAAGGAAGAUUAAUACCGCAUAACAUAAGAGAAUCGCAUGAUUUUCUUAUCAAAGAUUUAUUGCUUUGAGAUGGACCCGCGGUGCAUUAGUUAGUUGGUGAGGUAACGGCUCACCAAGGCCACGAUGCAUAGCCGACCUGAGAGGGUGAUCGGCCACAUUGGGACUGAGACACGGCCCAAACCCUACGGGAGGCAGCAGUAGGGAAUCUUCGGCAAUGGACGAAAGUCUGACCGAGCAACGCCGCGUGAGUGAAGAAGGUUUUCGGAUGGUAAAACUCUGUUGUCUGGGACGAUAAUGACGGUACCAGAGGAGGAAGCCACGGCUAACUACGUGCCAGCAGCCGCGGUAAUACGUAGGUGGCAAGCGUUGUCCGGAUUUAUUGGGCGUAAAGCGAGCGCAGGCGGUUUUUUAAGUGUGAUGUGAAAGCCCCCGGCUCAACCGGGGAGGGUCAUUGGAAACUGGGAGACUUGAGUGCAGAAGAGGAGAGUGGAAUUCCAUGUGUAGCGGUGAAAUGCGUAGAGAUUAGGAAGAACACCAGUGGCGAAGGCGCUUUCUGUACUGUACUGACGCUGAGGCACGAAAGCGUGGGUAGCAAACAGGAUUAGAUACCUUGGUAGUCCACGCCGUAAACGAUGGAUACUAGGUGUAGGGGGUAUCAACUCCUCCGUGUGCCGCAGUUAACACAAUAAGUAUCCCGCCGGGGGAGUACGGUCGCAAGAUUAAAACUCAAAGGAAUUGACGGGGGCCCGCACAAGCAGCGGAGCAUGUGGUUUAAUUCGAAGCAACGCGAAGAACCUUACCUGGACUUGACAUCCCUUGCAUAGCCUAGAGAUAGGUGAAGCCCUUCGGGGCAAGGAGACAGGUGGUGCAUGGUUGUCGUCAGCUCGUGUCGUGAGAUGUUAGGUUAAGUCCUGCAACGAGCGCAACCCUUGUUAUUAGUUGCUACCAUUAAGUUGAGCACUUUAAUGAGACUGCCUGGGUAACCAGGAGGAAGGUGGGGAUGACGUCAAAUCAUCAUGCCCCUUAUGUCCAGGGCUACACACGUGCUACAAUGGUAGGUACAAUAAGACGCAAGACCGUGAGGUGGAGCAAAACUUAUAAAACUUAUCUCAGUUCGGAUUGUAGGCUGCAACUCGCCUACAUGAAGCUGGAGUUGCUAGUAAUCGCGAAUCAGAAUGUCGCGGUGAAUACGUUCCCGGGCUUGUACACACCGCCCGUCACACCAUGAGAGCUGGUAACACCCGAAGUCGGGUGAGGUAACCGUAAGGAGCCAGCGGCCUAAGGUGGAUUA
rnacentral:rRNA from 1 species